GAGGGUGUAGCUCAAGCAGUAGAAUGCAUGUUUGGCAUGCACGAGGUCCUGGGUUCCAUCCCCGGCACCCCCU
rnacentral:tRNA from 1 species